rnacentral:rRNA from 1 species
UUGACACCUACUAGCUAGCCCGCCAACAACAAGCAACAACCAUUAUUAAUACCCCCUAAUGCAUUUAAUUAAACAAAACAAAUCACUUUUUCCCCAAGUAUAGGCGAUAGAAAGGGAACACCGGAGCUAUAGUCCAUGUACCGCAAGGGAACGCUGAAAGAGAAAUGAAAUAACCCAGUCAAGAACAAAAAAGCAGAGAUUAAACCUCGUACUUUUUGCAUCAUGAUUUAGCAAGUAAAAUUUAGGCGAAGCGCACUUUAGUCUAACUCCCCGAAACUGAACGAGCUACUCCGAGACAGCCGUUAGGGCCUAUCCGUCUCUGUGGCAAAAGAGUGGAGAGAGCUCCGAGUAGAGGUGACAGACCUACCGAGUUCAGUUAUAGCUGGUUGUCCGAGAACUGAGUCUGAGCUCAGCUUUUUGGCUUCUUGCCUCACAAAUAGUGUUAACAAAACCGACCAUAAGAACCAAAAAAGUUAGUCAAAAGAGGUACAGCUCUUUUGAUACAAGAAACAACUUUUACAGGAGGAUAAGGAUCAUAUACACCAAGGCCUUGUGUUUAAGUGGGCCUAAGAGCAGCCACCUCAUAGAAAGCGUUAAAGCUCAAACACCUCAAUGCCCCCAAUACCGAUAUCUCAUCCCAACCCCUGAUCCCUAUCGGACCCUUCCAUGCUCCCAUGGAAGUGAUUAUGCUAAUAUGAGUAAUAAGGGGCCACGACCCCCUCCAAGCACAAGUGUACCUCGGAACGAACCCCCGCCGAAAUUUAACGAACCCAAACCAAGAGGGCACUGGACUCUAAAAUACGCAACCAGAAAAACAUCCACCCCGACCUCGUUAACCUCACACUAGCGUGCCCAAUAGGAAAGACUAAAAGAAAAAGAAGGAACUCGGCAAACCCAAGCCUCGCCUGUUUACCAGAAACAUCGCCUCUUGUAACCUACAAAUAAGAGGUCCCGCCUGCCCUGUGACUAUGGGUUUAACGGCCGCGGUAUUUUGACCGUGCAAAGGUAGCGCAAUCACUUGUCCUUUAAAUGAGGACCUGUAUGAAAGGCAUCACGAGGGCUUAGCUGUCUCCUUUUUCAAGUCGAUGAAGUUGAUCCCCCCGUGCAGAAGCGGGGAUUAGAACAUAAGACGAGAAGACCCUAUGGAGCUUUAGAUACAAGACAGAUCAUGUUAAGCACCUUAAAUAAAAAAGCAAACUAAGUGGAACCUGUCUUAAUGUCUUUGGUUGGGGCGACCGCGGGGCAACAAAAAGCCCCCAUGAGGAAUAAAAGUAUUCUUUCAAAAACAAGAGCCACAGCUCUAAUGAACAGAACAUCUGACCUACCAGAUCCGGCAUAGCCGAUCAACGAACCGAGUUACCCUAGGGAUAACAGCGCAAUCCCCUUUUAGAGCCCCUAUCGACAAGGGGGUUUACGACCUCGAUGUUGGAUCAGGACAUCCUAAUGGUGUAGCCGCUAUUAAGGGUUCGUUUGUUCAACGAUUAAAGUCCUACGUGAUCUGAGUUCAGACCGGAGUAAUCCAGGUCAGUUUCUAUCUAUGAAGUGCCCUUUUCUAGUACGAAAGGACCGAAAAGGAGGGGCCAUGUUAAAAACACGCCCCACUCCCACCUGCUGCAUCCAACUAAAGCAGGCAAGAGAGCACAACCCCAAGUCAAAGAACAUGGCAUGUUAG